rnacentral:tRNA from 1 species
GCUGGUAUAGUUUAAUGGAUAAAACGAGCCCCUCCUAAGGGUUAGCUAUAGGUUCGAUUCCUAUUACCAGCG